ACAGAGGCCCCGAGCGUUAGGCGGAAUCACUGGGCUUAAAGCGCGUGUAGGCGGAGGGCUAAGUACCUUGUGAAAUCCCCGGGCUCAACCCGGGAACUGCUCGGUAUACUGGCCUUCUUGAGGCAUCUAGGGGCGAGCGGAACAAACGGUGGAGCGGUGAAAUGCGUAGAUAUCGUUUGGAACGCCAACGGAGAAAUCAGCUCGCUGGGGAUGUCCUGACGCUGAGACGCGAAAGCCAGGGGAGCAAACGGGA
rnacentral:rRNA from 1 species